GACGAACGCUGGCGGCGUGCUUAACACAUGCAAGUCGAACGAUGAACCCGGAGCUUGCUCCGGUGGAUUAGUGGCGAACGGGUGAGUAACACGUGAGUAACCUGCCCUUGACUCUGGGAUAACUGCGGGAAACUGUAGCUAAUACCGGAUACGACCCUCGGCGGCAUCGCCAGGGGGUGGAAAGAAUUUCGGUCAAGGAUGGACGCGCGGCCUAUCAGCUAGUUGGUGAGGUAACGGCUCAACAAGGCGACGACGGGUAGCCGGCCUGAGAGGGUGGCCGGCCGCACUGGGACUGAGACACGGCGCAGACUCCUACGGGAGGCAGCAGUGGGGAAUUUUCGACAAUGGGGGCAACCCUGAUCCAGCAAUGCCGCGUGAUUGAAGAAGGCCUUCGGGUUGUAAAGCUCUUUUGUCAGGGAAGAAACAGCAGCUCUAACACAGUUUGCGAAUGACGGUACCUGAAGAAUAAGCACCGGCUAAC
rnacentral:rRNA from 1 species